CACUAUCGUUAACUGAAUACAUAGGUUAACGAGGCGAACCGGGGGAACUGAAACAUCUAAGUACCCCGAGGAAAAGAAAUCAACCGAGAUUCCCCCAGUAGCGGCGAGCGAACGGGGAGCAGCCCAGAGUCUGAAUCAGCUUGUGUGUUAGUGGAACGGUCUGGAAAGUCCGACGGUACAGGGUGAUAGUCCCGUACACCAAAAUGCACAGGCUGUGAACUCGAAGAGUAGGGCGGGACACGUGGUAUCCUGUCUGAAUAUGGGGGGACCAUCCUCCAAGGCUAAAUACUCCUGACUGACCGAUAGUGAACCAGUACCGUGAGGGAAAGGCGAAAAGAACCCCGGCGAGGGGAGUGAAAAAGAACCUGAAACCGUGUACGUACAAGCAGUGGGAGCACCUUCGGGUGUGACUGCGUACCUUUUGUAUAAUGGGUCAGCGACUUAUAUUCUGUAGCAAGGUUAACCGUAUAGGGGAGCCGCAGGGAAACCGAGUCUUAACUGGGCGUUAAGUUGCAGGGUAUAGACCCGAAACCCGGUGAUCUAGCCAUGGGCAGGUUGAAGGUUGGGUAACACUAACUGGAGGACCGAACCGACUAAUGUUGAAAAAUUAGCGGAUGACUUGUGGCUGGGGGUGAAAGGCCAAUCAAACCGGGAGAUAGCUGGUUCUCCCCGAAAGCUAUUUAGGUAGCGCCUCGUGAACUCAUCUUCGGGGGUAGAGCACUGUUUCGGCUAGGGGGUCAUCCCGACUUACCAACCCGAUGCAAACUACGAAUACCGAAGAAUGUUAUCACGGGAGACACACGGCGGGUGCUAACGUCCGUCGUGAAGAGGGAAACAACCCAGACCGCCAGCUAAGGUCCCAAAGUCAUGGUUAAGUGGGAAACGAUGUGGGAAGGCACAGACAGCCAGGAUGUUGGCUUAGAAGCAGCCAUCAUUUAAAGAAAGCGUAAUAGCUCACUGGUCGAGUCGGCCUGCGCGGAAGAUGUAACGGGGCUAAACCAUGCACCGAAGCUGCGGCAGCGACACUAUGUGUUGUUGGGUAGGGGAGCGUUCUGUAAGCCUGCGAAGGUGUGCUGUGAGGCAUGCUGGAGGUAUCAGAAGUGCGAAUGCUGACAUAAGUAACGAUAAAGCGGGUGAAAAGCCCGCUCGCCGGAAGACCAAGGGUUCCUGUCCAACGUUAAUCGGGGCAGGGUGAGUCGACCCCUAAGGCGAGGCCGAAAGGCGUAGUCGAUGGGAAACAGGUUAAUAUUCCUGUACUUGGUGUUACUGCGAAGGGGGGACGGAGAAGGCUAUGUUAGCCGGGCGACGGUUGUCCCGGUUUAAGCAUGUAGGCUGAUUAUCCAGGCAAAUCCGGAUAAUCAAGGCUGAGGUGUGAUGACGAGGCACUACGGUGCUGAAGUAACAAAUGCCCUGCUUCCAGGAAAAGCCUCUAAGCAUCAGGUAACAUUAAAUCGUACCCCAAACCGACACAGGUGGUCAGGUAGAGAAUACCAAGGCGCUUGAGAGAACUCGGGUGAAGGAACUAGGCAAAAUGGUGCCGUAACUUCGGGAGAAGGCACGCUGGUGUGUAGGUGAAGUCCCUGCGGAUGGAGCUGAGACCAGUCGAAGAUACCAGCUGGCUGCAACUGUUUAUUAAAAACACAGCACUGUGCAAACACGAAAGUGGACGUAUACGGUGUGACGCCUGCCCGGUGCCGGAAGGUUAAUUGAUGGGGUUAUCCGUAAGGAGAAGCUCUUGAUCGAAGCCCCGGUAAACGGCGGCCGUAACUAUAACGGUCCUAAGGUAGCGAAAUUCCUUGUCGGGUAAGUUCCGACCUGCACGAAUGGCGUAAUGAUGGCCAGGCUGUCUCCACCCGAGACUCAGUGAAAUUGAACUCGCUGUGAAGAUGCAGUGUACCCGCGGCAAGACGGAAAGACCCCGUGAACCUUUACUAUAGCUUGACACUGAACAUUGAGCCUUGAUGUGUAGGAUAGGUGGGAGGCUUUGAAGCGUGGACGCCAGUCUGCGUGGAGCCAACCUUGAAAUACCACCCUUUAAUGUUUGAUGUUCUAACGUUGGCCCCUGACCGGGGUUGCGGACAGUGUCUGGUGGGUAGUUUGACUGGGGCGGUCUCCUCCCAAAGCGUAACGGAGGAGCACGAAGGUUAGCUAAUCCUGGUCGGACAUCAGGAGGUUAGUGCAAUGGCAUAAGCUAGCUUGACUGCGAGCGUGACGGCGCGAGCAGGUGCGAAAGCAGGUCAUAGUGAUCCGGUGGUUCUGAAUGGAAGGGCCAUCGCUCAACGGAUAAAAGGUACUCCGGGGAUAACAGGCUGAUACCGCCCAAGAGUUCAUAUCGACGGCGGUGUUUGGCACCUCGAUGUCGGCUCAUCACAUCCUGGGGCUGAAGUAGGUCCCAAGGGUAUGGCUGUUCGCCAUUUAAAGUGGUACGCGAGCUGGGUUUAGAACGUCGUGAGACAGUUCGGUCCCUAUCUGCCGUGGGCGCUGGAGAAUUGAGGGGGGCUGCUCCUAGUACGAGAGGACCGGAGUGGACGCAUCACUGGUGUUCGGGUUGUCAUGCCAAUGGCACUGCCCGGUAGCUAAAUGCGGAAGAGAUAAGUGCUGAAAGCAUCUAAGCACGAAACUUGCCCCGAGAUGAGUUCUCCCUGAGACUUUAAGUCUCCUGAAGGAACGUUGAAGACGACGACGUUGAUAGGCCGGGUGUGUAAGCGCAGCGAUGCGUUGAGCUAACCGGUACUAAUGAACCGUGAGGCUUAACCUU
rnacentral:rRNA from 1 species